GAUCCUGGCUCAGGAUGAACGCUGGCGGCAUGCCUAAUACAUGCAAGUCGAACGAGAGGAAGGAAAGCUUGCUUUUCUGAAUCUAGUGGCGAACGGGUGAGUAACACGUAGGUAAUCUGCCCAUGUGCCCGGGAUAACUUCUGGAAACGGAUGCUAAAACCGGAUAGGUAGCAGACAAGCAUUUGACUGCUAUUAAGGUGGCUUUGGCCAUGAACAUGGAUGGACCUGCGGUG
rnacentral:rRNA from 1 species